UCUACGGCCCACCAGUGAAUAACGAGGCGGGAGAAUCGACGACUUCCAACUGUCUCCCGCGAGAGAGAGCAAUGUCGUAGAGGAGUUGAAGUUUUGAUUUUAUAUUUGCUCUUAAAACUAAUGGAGAUAGUGAUGAACUAUACUGCGUAUGAAAGGAUUACUGACACUUAAAGGCAUGUGCAAAAUUCCGACUACUCCCGUGAUAAUUGUGUGUCGGUAUAAUCUUUGAUUAUGGAAACAAGUCAACCACAGAUGGAUUGGGGGUGCCACGCUGACCAAGUAAGAAUGUCUAACUCUAUUAGGAAUGUUUGGUUAUUAAUUGCUUCAAUUUUUCUAUGGUCGUCUUCAAUUUGAGUUGAUUGCUUUAGGUAGUCUCAUUUUGAUCCAUAUGUGGCUAGAAAUUUAUGCAUGUUUAUGUACAUUGUCCUUGAUCGCACAAUUCCAUGCUUCGUAUUCCUAUAUAAGCAUGACAAGUAUACUUACUUGCCAAUGAUGAUUAUAUUAUUACACCAGGGAGCGACUUCUUAAAAUUACUCAAUACGUACGGCAAUAUAGUUUCUGUCUUUGUUGCUUGAAUUGAAUAAAUUGCUAAGAACAUUAAUUUACGACUACUCAGUUUACAUUGGACAGAGUUCUGCAUAGGUUACGGUGAUUUAACCGUGAUAGUGAAAUGAGUUACCAAGUAAUACUUUAA